AAAAGAUCUUUAAGAUCAUCUAGUCCAACCAUCCAACUUCUUCCAAUACUGCCCACUAAACCACGUCCCUAAGCUCACUCUACAUCUACAACUCACUCUCUUAUAUGGAAAGUCUUCUCAGAGGGCUGUGAACAUGAGGGUGGCUCUCAGAGAGUUCUCUGCUGGAGCUUCUUCCCAGCCCCAUACAUUGCUGGGAGGAGGUUUGGGUGAUGCUAAUGGAAAGAUAUGUGAGCUAUCUUAGAAUGGGUAAGUGGUUGCUGAAGGGAUGUCAUUGUGAGCAGCCAAAGAGGAGGCACCAUCUGCUCUGUCACAGGUAAACACCACCCUGCACCAAACCAGGGUGAUUUCCCUUCAACCUGAGGUGUGAGGCCAGCAGUCUCAAACUGUAAUUCUCACAAUAUUACUUCCACCGAUGAGACAAGGGCAUUAGGGGCACUGCCACUUAGGCAAGAAAUCUUUAAGUGUAGCUGCAAGUUGCCUGUUUUAAUGACAACAAACCCUAGUGGUGAGGAAGAGGGGACAGGUAGCAACACUGAUACUGUGUAGUAUAAUGUAAUAGCAGAUAUAAAUGUGACUCAUUCUAGCCAGAGGCUUUAGAAUGGGAAGUUGGAUAAAAGAUAUAAAAGAAAUGGGAUUUAUUUUUUUCCAUCUUAGCAAAGGUCACUGCCAGGAAUAGCAUGGGAAAUAAUUAAUGGAGGAAGAAAUAUUCUCCUUCAGAUGAGAAGUAUUGUCUUGCUCUGCAGUUCUGUUCCCAUACAGGGGUUCUGGUAACAAACAUCAGCCAGCAUGCAGGGCUUUUUCCCUGGUGCUGCUGAUGGCACUGCCUGCUCCGUGCUCAUCCUGCAGAGACGUGGGAGGCUGUGACUGAUGCGCUGUGCCGGCAGCACUGCCAAGUGCAGACCACAGUGUGACCUGAAUGCUGUGCAGGAGUGUGGUGCUGCACUUUAAUUCCUUCACCUUGGAGUGGAAAUGGGCUUGCUCUCAGUGCUCCCAUGCAACAGAGCAAAAACCUAUUACAGGAAAGCUACAAAGAGCAGAGGUAAGCUCUUACCCACAUUUUCCACUGGUGUUACUCGCUCUAGAGAGUCAGCUGAUUUCGGCCUGGUUCCCAGACUGCUUUUUGGUGUUCAUCCAAGAUGAGACUGCAUUGGGCUUUCCUACCCCCAAAUGGGCUAACUGAAGUCAAGGAUUGACCUCAGAUGCACGGGUGCUCCUCCACCUCAUCCUAAAAUGGGGUCAGGCGAGGGAACAACCCCAGACCAGCGGCCCUUCACUCUCCCAAAAAGAGCCAUUCGAGGAUACUGGGUCUCAGUCUAGAUCUGACUUUCACAGCUGACCCCUUUCUGUGAAGUGAUAAAAUCCUGCUGCAGAAAGCUUUCAAGCAAUUCAGAGGUGUGGCCAUACAUAAAUGCUGGGACUCUGGACGGCAGUGCUCAUAAUACAAUUCAGUGUGGAACACUUGGGAAACAAAAAUCAGUCCCAUCCAGGCGAUCUGUCACUUGCAUGUUUUAAUGUUGAUGUGAGGUUUGGCCCUUUCACUCUGCUUACUUUCUCACUUUCUGAGGCGCGUGUUGCUCUUCUAGCCACCUUCUCAUGGUCAUGAGAUUUGAGGUCACGCACUGUCUUACCUGAGGAUUUCACAGCUGCUGCUCCUAGAGAUGGAUAUUAGGAGACAUUUAUUCUCAGAAAGAGUGGUGAGGCAGUGGCGCAGGCUGCCCAGGGAGGUGGUGGAGUCACCAUCCCUGGAGGUGCUCAAAAAACGUGGAGGUGUGGCACUGAGGGACUUAGUGGACAUGGUGGGGGUGAGUUAGUGGUUAGACUUGAUGGUCUUAGUGGUCAUUUCCAACCUUAACGAUCCUAUGAGGUUCCACAUGGUGCAGAUGUGAACGGUUCAGUUAUUUAGGUAGUAAAGCAGCUGUUUGGCUUGGCUGAGCAGUUCUAUUACUCUUCUUUGAAUACUGCUGAUCAACCCGCUUCAACCCACUGGCCCUUCCCUAACCUUCCCCUUUUCCAUACCCUUACUGUGCAUACACACAGACAAAUAAUGUGUGCUAUGUGUUAUGUAUGUAUGUGUGUGUGUGUGUGUGGGCAGCUGUGCCUGCUGUAGGGAUUUCCUCCCAAACAAUACCUGUUGUGCUAGCCAUUGCAGUUCUAUUGGUUCCCAUGCUCAGAGCAGUUUGAGUUUCCUGCUGGCUCAGCAGCAAGACUUUCAGAGCUUUUUAUACUUAUUCUUCUCUGGGAGCCAAACAGAGGAGUGCAGUUUGCCUAUGAAUAGAGAGCUGACGGGGCAGGCUGCAGGAAGCUUGCCUACAAACCGUGUGAACCUCUCAAGGGGAGGAAGGGGCACAAGGCUGCUGGCUGGGCUCGGCGAGGCACUGCUGCAGUCCUUGCCUUGCACACCCGUCAUCAGCAUGUGGGGCUGUGGUGCUCCUGCUCUAAGGGAGGGGAAAUAGGUGUGAGAUGGAAAGGGAAAGAAUGGAAAGAGAGAAUGGUAGAAGCAAUGCAGAGAGGGGUUGGAGAGUAGAAAAGAGUGAGGAAGCUUGAUAUUUUGGGGUUUUGUUUUUUUUUGUUUUUUGUUUUUUUUUGUUGUUUUUUUUUUUUUUGCAUGAAACCGUGUACAUGGCCUCCUUGCAUAGAGCAUAUCCACUGCACCUUGUGAUGCCCUCUGCUCCUGGCUCAACAGAAGCUCUGUUUAAAUUGCAUGUGACCGAUGACUGUAGUGCCUUUGUCUGUUUUCAAGGCCUCUUGUUUCUUGUUUUAAGAUCAAAUGUUUCUUUGCCUACAGCCCCUGCAAACCCCAACAGCUUACUGCUGAGCUGACAUGUUCUGCUCUGGGUAUCUGUCUUCAGCUGAAUGUGUUUGGGAAGCUUCAGCAAAUGUGUUUUUGCUUGCUUACAAGAAAGAGAUGUGAGAAACAUUUUUUUCCCUCCCUUCAUAUUCAAACAUGUUCUAAAAAUGAUCAGUUGAGAAACUCCAGCACUUUCUGCCUUUGGAGCAGAGACCUGAGAUUUGGCAAAUAUCUGGAAUGUGCCUUUGGUUGUUCUUCACAGGGAAAAAAAAAAAAAGUUGAGCUAAGAAACCUUAGAAAAAAACCAACAGCCUCAGAUCUCAGGCACUCAACAGAAACUUCUGAGAGGCAGCGGCUGGAUUCUCUGAAGGCGCCCGCUCAGUGGAGAUUUGUUCAAGUCUGGAGGCUGAAUCACUGAUGAGAGGCUGGGAGAAGUGCUGCAGCCUCAUGCUGCAGGUGUGGAGCUGCAGCUCUUUGAAUUUGUUUUUCCACACUGACAGGGAUGCUGCAGUGCUGAGGCAGAGGCUGGAGAUGCUCUCAGAAUACCAUGCGUCUAGCAGAGAAGAGAUGCAACAGUCAUGGAGGUUUCUGCCAUGUGGGAGCUCUCUUUUGUCAGCAAAUACUUGGGGAACCCACUGGUAAGGGCUGUCAGUCACUCCUGCCUGCUCCCUCAGCAGAAGCUGAUGGUCUGUCAGCACUCAGUUCAUCUGCUUUUCAAGCACUGUGGAAUUAACAGGGGAAAACAAGAGCCAGCGCUGCUGGUGAGUCCCACCACUGCUGGGUGAUGCAUCGUGGCGUUCCUGCAGCUUUGUUUCAGUUCAUUCCCUGCAAAUUGAGGAAAUAACACAAGCCUAAGGCAAGCUGAAAGUAUGGGAAGUCUGUAGAGUCAGGCACUCAGCAGUUGGGAAAUACUUGCUUUAAAACUGCCCUUGCCAUCUGAGUGCAGCUCCUGUUUGCAUAGCCAUUGUGAUAGGGUUGCUUUUAGCUGCAGGAUCAAAGCUGAAAGUAAUGCCUCCUAUUUUAUUUUGCUGGCACACGGUGUCAGAUGCGGAUGUUGGUGCUAUGGCAGUAGGGGUUGAACUUGGCCACAGGUAGGAAAGCUUCCGACAGUCACAAAGGCAGAUUCCGGUUGCCUGGCUAAGUGUCAGUGCUGGUCUCUGAAGACUGAGGCACUUAAUCUCUCUAUUUGAACAGAAAAAGCUAACAUAUAUCUUGCUAAUCUUAUUCUGGGAGACAGCUGAAUUAUUUUAGCUUAAAAUUACCAAAAGAGCCUGCCUGAGGCACAUUUCCAGCACAGAGUUUCUCAGCACGAGCAGCUGAGCUUUGGCAGAUCUCUAAGUAAGGGAAAACAGUCAUUAAUGGAGGCGUUAAGAAACUCUCACUGCAGGCAGAAUGGCAAACUGGCUCUGUGGAUGGCUCCAGAAUGAAGGAUGUACAUAUGCUCAUAGCAUCCUUUCUCUGUGACUCUGGGUAGCUGAUUGGUGCUGGCAAGCCAUGGUAAAGCAUGAAGAGAAAUGUGGGAUUUCUCUUUCCCUCACAUAUCUGGGAAAAGUAAAGGGAAGAACUUGAAACGUGUAUCCUAAGCUGUUUCUGGUAGCUACUUCAAGAAGACCAGACCCUGCGCAGUGGCUCUUCUUGAAGGAGAACCUCUUGCACCCACUGCUGAUCCCUGGUAAUCCCCUCACGUGGACAGAGCCCACCUCUGCUCCCAGGGGCACCCAGAUGCUACAUGACAGGGACACUCCCCUUCAAGCUGACAACAUCCAAUGAUUUUAUCAUUCUCUAAGGGAUUUACUCACCCAAACUGUAAUAUUUAGUUAUUUAUCUUUAGUGAUUCUGUUGUUAUUCUUUACUGAAUGCUGCCCAGUUUGCUAUUGUCUUUUUUGGCAUGCGAGUGCCUGCAAGUUGUUUUCUCUGUUCAGAGAUUUCUCCAAAUACUUUUCCCUGCACUGCCCAUGUUCCAGGUGGGAGCUUUUUUGAUGCUGUUCUCCUUCUCAAUCCCCCAUCUCAGAAGGAUCAUUUAUGAGACUAAAGUCAUAACAAGAAACCACAGCUCAGUCAUUCUCCCCUUCCUCAUUACUAAAUCCAAAACAAUCCUUUUGUAAAAAGAAAUGCUUUGCAGGUUCAUAUUCCAUCAGCCUGGGAAACAAUUUCUUCCCAUAUACAGCUGCACAGAGCACAGUGGUGAGGUGCACGCAGAGGGCUGACAGAAGGACCUGGCCUCCCAGCCAGGGGAAGGCAGAGGCACAGGGUCUCUAGGCAGCUCCUGUUGCAUUGCCCUAAGCAGGGGACUGGGAGCUGCUCCGAAACUGCAGAAAAUAUCUGAUCCACGCAGUUCUCCUGUGGCUGCCAUGCUGAGUUUUCUCUUUCUGAGAUCUGAAUCCUUUAAAGCUCUGUUUGCAGAGGUGAAUGAAAAUGAGCUAGAGCCUUUGGAGAGACCUGGAAGCCAUUUGGUGCAGAACAAUUUCAGAAAUCUGCCAAUGAAUGCAAGCUUCUUUUUAACUGAAAGUAACACGUACAUUUAGAGAGCAGAGCACGCAAGUACAUUCACAAUGGCUGCUAUCAGCAACUCUGGCACUUUCUCUGAGCAUUAAGUCCUGGUCCUGGAAAUUGCUGCUGCCCCUCAGGCUUCUGUCCAUCUCUGUUCAGUUCCCUGCAGCAUUUAAGCCCCAUUAAGUGCAUACAUUUUCUUUGGCUAUUCAACUCCAGCCACUUUUGGGAAGAAAUUGGCCAGAAUCCUUGAACCUAAAAUAAUCAAGUGUCUGUCUUUCCAUUGAAAAGGAUCCCAUUUAUCUGACAAGCAGUGCAAAAUGCAAUAGGUAAUUCAGUGCAAGCACUCUCCAAGAAACCUGUUGUUGCAAAACCAGGCAAGUGGUUUGCGCAGAAGCAGAUAAGGUACUUUAGGAAGCCCAGGUUGUUGCGCUGAAUGUCAAUAUAUUUGGUUUCAUAAUGUGUGUGACUUUUAUUAUCAGGCUCUUGGUUUCUACCACUCUCUUUAGAAAUAUGCCACCAUCAGCUGCUGCACAGGGAGUGUGGCCUUUCAGAUGCUCCUUCUGCAAGUAUCUGUCAUGCUCCCAGAGAAAUGUCUUUGUUCCGGGUUGUUCUGAGCAAGAGAAUUAAAAAUCAAACUGGAGAUGGUGGCCAGCACAAAGAACCAGCCAAAGUUAUUUUAAUGAAUAUCUCUCCAUACCUGCCAAUCCACCCUCCCCUGCAGGAAAAACAACUCUUGAAUGAAUAGAGCAUAUGGCAAGGAAGAUAGAGCAUCCAUGCCAAGUUUGUCUUUGCCUUAGCAGAACUGGCUGUAAGAUGCUGAAUCUGCAGAUCUUCUCUUGGAACAUGCUCCUAGGGAGAAAAAGGAGGCACUUUCUCGCUGCUGCUUUAGUCUGGCUCCUGCAGUCUCUCUGUUCGAGUCCUCAGUGUGCAGGACAUUGCUGUGGUUGUAGCUCUUGGACUCACCUUGUUGCCCGCCAGUGUCUGUGUCACUGGGAGUAUGGGAGCACCACCAUAUUGUUGCUGCCUAGAAGUGAGGUGUUCAGCCCAAGUCCCUUCACCAUGACUUGCUCUCCAGUCAGGAGGCAGCCACCUACCUCCACAGGUUAUUCACCUGAUCCUAAAAUAGGUGUGAGAGAUGCCUUCCUCUCUCCAUCAGAAACCUCUGGAUGCUGGCUCAGCCUGUGGCCAGCCCUCACAGCUUGGUCUGUCUGUGCACAGCAUGGCCAGCUCAGCCCCACUAGAGGAGGUUCAUGGUGGACGAGUUGGUGGUUCACCCUGGAGCAGUGUGGGUAUAUGGGACCUUGCUACUCCUGCUCUGAAGGAUUUAACAUGUUACAGAGGAACCAUACUUUUGGUGCUCCACAGUAGUGUAUGUCUCUAGAGUUACAAUUGAGGUUUGAGUGGUUAAAUUUAGAAGAUAGGCAACUGAGACCCUUACUGGACCUAUCUCUGCUGGGACUGAAGCUAUGUAAAUGUUUGUGUUCUUUCAGACCUGAGAGGAGAGGCCACUGUUCCACCUGCAUUCAUGCUAUGAAGGGACACCAUGGGCCAGAAGAGUGUUCUCCUCUCCCAGAACCUUCUCCAGCAGUUUGGCCUGGAGAUGAAGUCCCCACAUGUCAGGGAGGCCUCUCACUGUGGGCAGUGAGGUCUCUGUUUCCAGAAGGAUGUUGCUCACAUUUGGAGAACUCCAGCAGGGGCAGGCAGGACUCUGGAGAACUGAACAACUCUUCAUGGAGAUGGAAGUUCAGAGCUGUCCUUCAAAAUGGCUUCAGCUCAUGCUGCAGCAGCGCUGUAUGUGCUUGGGGUGGAGGAGGCCACAGCUCACUGCAGUCAGAGGAAAUGGAGAAAAGCUUGAUCUGAGCUCAGAAUGCAGCACAGUUCAGGCUGAUUUGAAAUAGAAAUUCUUACAGCUGGUUGCUGGAUCCAGGGAGGACGCAGUAAGACGUCUCUGAUUAUCUCCUGGAGAAGCCACAGAUGACUGAUGACUAUUAAAUCACUCUUUCACCGUGAAUGGCACAUGGCGGUGGGAUCUGCACCGGAGGCUGUUGCAUCACACAUCGUGGUUUCAGCAGAGCUUUGCAGAAAAAAAAAAUGAAAGUAAACUGUGUUAUUUUGAGCCUGAGCAGUGAGUGAGUUCUCAGUAUCUAAAUGAGAGCUUUUAGAGUCAGCUCCAGGUGUUGCAGGAAGUGGUGGAGGUGACUCAGUAAAUGUCACACUUCCCUCCAAGUCAGUUGUGCUGUCCAAAAAUAACACUCCAUAGGCAUCUGGCUGCUCAGCAUGGCCCUGCUGUUUUUGUGGCACUCAAAACACUCCUGCUUGGCACUUUCCUGGUUUUGCACCACCUUCCCUGUCACAAGUGUUUGCCUUUAUCUUCCUGUCUUUGUUCUUCCCUGUAAAGCCAAAGACACCACUAUUUAAGUUCUGCACAUCUCUGAAAACAAGCAUUAAUCCCUUUCAUCCUCAUUCCAUAGCUUUGAUGCAUUUUCUUAAAUAUUUAUGCCCCUUGCUUGACCGCUGUUUUCUCUCCUGCUUCAGCUCAAUACGUUUCUCACUGCAGCUGCCCUGUUAAAGCAUUGCUAAGGGCACUGACCACACACAGGCUUAAGCAGACAGACAGCAGUGCAAUGGAAAAGAGACCUUUUGUAUCUGGUGGUGUGGGCUGUCCCAGGACAGCACCAGAUGGAAAGAGAAAAGAAGCCAGGAAUAUUGAGAAGCCCCAAAGAUUGUGUUAGGAUACAAGAGAAAGUAUGAGCAUGUCAUCCCAAAUCCUUCAUCCCUGCCAGCUUAGGAAACAUGAAUGGGCCCACAGCUGGAGAACUGUGUAUGUUGGAGCAUCAGCUUUUGGUGUAUGAGUCAGCUACAGGCUGAGAGUGCCAGGUUGGUGGAGGUGUUUGGAUCUUUGCUGUUCUUUAUGGACAAGUCUCAUAAAUUUCUGCAACCUCUGCUUGGUUUGGAUUUUGUAAAUUGAUCUGUAAAUUCAGCUCUGUUCACUGGGGGAUGCUCUCCAGAGCAAACCUUUUUCUUGCUUCCACAUACUCUGCUUUGAGUCACCUCAUGGGAUGGUCUCAGAGUGCUUGGACUAGAUGCAUUGUGCAGGAGAACAAAAUGGAAAGUGCUCUACAGGAUCACACUGACUGUUAGUAGCGCCAUACUGCAGUUAGCCCAAAGAAAACCCCUAUGUGCUGUGUGGAUGUCAGGCCCUCAGCCCCAGUGCUUUGUGACAGACUCAUGCCCACACCAGGCGUGCAGCCUCUGGCCGCAAUGCGGUGGGUGCCUCAGGGCUGAGUGUUGGAGGACAGGCACAGGGCAUGACCCCAAGGCACAGGUGUUUUUUCUGGAAUUCAUACAUCACGGGCUGUGGAGUUUUCAUAUGUGGAUCAGAUGGGUUGUCUUAAGCACCAAGUACAGAAAAUAGAGGCUGUUUUCAUUCUUCCUUGUCCUGUGGAGACUAUUUGUAGGUGUCUCUGUUUUGUGUUGAAUUUCUUUGCACAGACUUCCAAAGCCCCUGUUGUUCUGCAGUAGAAGUUCCUGCCUUUUCAUUGACUUAAACGAAGGAGCCCUUUGGAGAGUGAUCUCAUCUGGAUCUUAAAUACUCAGAAGCAUUUGAUCAUAAGUUUUGGAUGUCUUCAGGGCCUGAUUUGCUGAUUUACAAAGCUUACGUUCCUGCUCUUCAAAACUUGUGAAAUAUGGAUUCAAUUUAUGUAUGGCUGAGAGGGGUGCUGACAUGCUCUAAGGAUUUUGUUUUGUUUUUAAUGGUGUCUUUAUAAUUUCCGAGUUUCUGGGACUUUUCACUGGUUCUUUCAAGCAGACCCACGUGGCUUAUGAGGAAUGUGCUGCAAUGGAGGGGGCAGAUUUCUCUGGUCAAAGCAGUGCAGCUUGCCAGGGACUGCACAGCAGCAUGCCUGCACAAGGCCCUGCAGUUUCCUUCUGGGCUGGGCAGCCAUGGCUAGUGAUGAUUCAGUGAUACUGAGCUGGGCGGUAAGUUCUCACAGGGAUGUGCAAGGGAGCCAGAGGCAGUGAGAUGCAAUGGGUAAUGGGCUGAGGCUGCUGUCCUGCAGAACUGGUAGGACUCCUGGGGCUGUGGCAGGGUCUAGAAGCCUUCUGUGGGGCAUAAGGAGCACCAAAGCACUUCUGACUGCAUUCCUCUGGGUGAGCAAGCUGUGUGCUGGGCUGAUGGAGCAAAGCUUCAUGCUGUCCUGUGGACCACCAUGGAGUUUUCAAGGCAACAUGGAUGGCGUGGAGGUACCCAAGUACGUGUAGUGGCUCUGAGACCUCCCCAGUGGCCGUGUCUGCUGUACUUGUGGCAGGUAUAACACUACUUUAGCAGAGCUUUGCAUAAUUUCUCGAAGGGAAGGACUUAGCAGGACAAGAAAAGAGGAAAUAAUGCAAAUGCCUUCCUUUAUUUUUAUUUUUUUGUUAGGGCAGCCAUAUGCUCACCCUGCCUCCAUUCACUCCAGCAGCUGCAUGUGGUAGGCACAGUGACCGGAAGCUGCGGUCCAGAUGUGUGUGUGUAAAUGAUGCAAAGUCUGGAAAAUAACAAACAUGAGCUCUGAAAGCAGGGGCACGGCUGUUACUGCACGCGCUGUAAUUCAGGAACUAACAGAUGUCCCCAAGCUUCGUGCCUGGCCCAAAAGGGACACAAGAAGGGAACUGGUUCAGGGUUUAUGCACAGCUGCGCGGAUCAGAUGACACUGUCAGCUGAACCUGCACCUAGCCAGUCCUGAUUUAUCAGAGCAGGAACCCUGACCUUUAUUUGGGCACAGAAAUACCAUCUUGGAAAGCUCUGCUAAGAAAGACAGCAAGGGCCAUAAGAAUCCAUGGCAUUUCUCUAAAGAAGAGUCUGAUUACAAACUGACAUGUGCAGCCCUCCAUGAUUGCGUGCUUCUCACUGGACUUUGCCGGAAGCAAUCCCAAAGGAUGUUUUCCAGGGGCCAGGCUCAUGGGAUAUUUAGCAUUUCCACUUAUGUUUAUCCAGGGGUGACAAGCACUGCUACACGAUGGUCUUGUCCCUGACUCUGCAUGGUGGGGGCUCAGGCUUAUGGUAGUCAGUGGCUGUUGGGGGGCCAGCACAGAAUGAUCUGGCAGCUGCCAUUGGGUCCUGUGUCAUGAAACCACUGUACGUUGGCAGCCUCAGCUCAACAGAGCAAGCCAGGACAUUUUUCUCAUUCUAACUUGGAACACAGAACCUGAGCCUGAGCUCUGCUUUCACAUGGCCAAAGAUAGCUCUGCAGAUCUGCAUAGCCAGGACUUGACCAUAUUUCAAAACAUGUCUGAAAGGGGGAAGUGGAGAACCCCCUGUGGAUUUCCUUUCAACCUCAUCUUCCUGGGUUGGGCAAAUGAUGUUCAGGACCGUUAUGGCUGCAGCUGAGCUCUGAACACACACAGCCAGGGCACUGAUGCCAUGCAGACAGGGCGCUGGGUUUUCUCCCAUCACCUCAGUGAGAUGGGGAAGGAAAAUAGGCUGCAGCCCGGAUUGUACUGUCAGGUCUGACCAGGGGAGAGUGCUUUCUUUUAGGCAAAGGCAUUGCUUAGAAGUUACCUAUUCACAAAUGCUCUUCUUCUUUCAAAGUCAUAGAAUCAUAAAGGUUGGAGAAGACCACCUAGGAUCAUCUAGUCCAAUCACCAAUCUAUCACCAUCAUGCCCACUAAACUGUGCUACUCGAUGCCACAAGUCUCUACGGUAAUUUUCCUUGCCUACUGUGUAAAGCAACAGGGACUUUCUGUUUGCAGGGAGAAGGAAACAUAAGUUGGUGGCUAAUGCUCAGAAGUGGCAGCUUGGAGAUACAGCUCCCAUUAACCUGCAAGCACUGCCUUGCAGAGUUCUAAUUAUGGGCAGCUCUUAAUACCUCGUGGGUUUUUGUCCUCAAAAUGCACUGGUUAAGGCUGAGAAUGAAUCCUGAAAGACAAGGCAUUCAGGGGUACCUCAGCAGCCUCUCUGCAGAGUAGACCAAUGUUGUGCAAUGCUUAUCUGCAGAAAUCUGCAACUGGUUCUCUGGAGAUGGGAGCUCAAGGAGCAUGCUGUUUGCAGCAAGGCCAGCUCUGUGGCGGUUGCCCCAUGGGAACUGUAGUUUCCCUGCCAAACAUGACUUGGUUCAAGACCUUUCUCUCAACAUUUGCAGCAAUGUGCAUACCCUCAAAUUUCAGUUUUGUAAUUUUAGAAAGCGCAGCAAAAAGCCCCUCAGAAGAGCAGCCACCCAGCUGCAUGGAUGGCCAUAAGGAAAUUGGUUAAACCAGGAAAUGGAACAACAAGGAGAAGGUGCCAAGGUUAGAGACCAUAUAAUUUAUUUGCCACAGGGCAUGUUCUUCCACUUGCACACAUUUCCGUUUCCAUGGUAUCCUACUGUCCUACUCUGUGGAGUUGUGGUGUAUGACCAUGGACCUUAGUUUCCUCAGAUGGUCCUCUUUUUCCCUUGCUUGUCCUGGAGAUCCUGAAAUGCAGCGGUACCUGCACUGUUGUGUCAUUAAUGCAGCCAGUUCUUAAUGACCCAAUGAUAUUUACUUAGAUCCUGUGGCCCCACAGGGGAAAAAACGGCUCUUUUAACACUAGAAGCCUGAUGGAAAGGGUGGUUUACAAGAGUUUUUGGAAGAGAGGAAAAGUCAAAUGAGUGCAAACACCAAAGCUAUUCCCUUGCUUGAAAGGAAUACCAAGAAAACUUGCUCAGUGGGUCAUGAUGAGCUCAUUCAGUCCACUAGAUUACUGGAAAAAUCUUCCACUUUGAGAAGUAUGCAUGUGUCUGUGUUGAGUCAGAAUCUGGCAGAGCAGCUUUAGUACACAUUUUUGUUGCGAAAAAGUCCCUUUUGUCUCUUGUGAACCUCAAAAAUUUCUGGCCUGAGUAGGCUCUACAUUUCAAAGUUUUUGCACAGAAAAUGUAGGUGCUGCACUGUUGCAUUAUGUAGGCAAUGUGGUAUCUCUGGGCCUCGGGUUGGGUCCAUUUUCUUGCCUGCCACACUUUUCUCCAGUAUUGUGCAUUUCUUUAUUGCUGACCAGGCAGUUUUUAUGCAGUGUACAAAUAGCGUUGCAUGAAGACAUUGCAGGCACAUCCCUGCACACACUCACACACAGUUCACGUUUCCAGAAGAUUGCUGUAAGCAUAACAAUUUUUUUUCUGCUGAACUUCUUGGCAUAGUUCGGUGCAAAGCCGGCAGCUUUCAUACAAUGAACGCAGCCUGCAGUACGGGGGCUCAGAGAAAAUAACAAGAUCUGUGACACUGAGAAAACGCAGUCACAGACACCACAGCACUACGCUGGGAUGAGCACAGUAGCUGCAGGGAGGGGUCAUGGUCAAAUAUGCUAUUUCAAGCAAAAUCUGAGAGGAGGAUGUGUGCUUGGCCACAGGAAGAGCGUUGUCUUAGUCAGAGCAGUUAAUCAUGCAGCAUGAAGAGAAGUACGUACAGCAAGAUUUCUGUUUCCAGCAGACUUUUUCCUCCUCUGAAAUGACUUGCAUAUAUUUUCUCUUUGCUAUUUGCAGUAUGGCAGCAUCUGCGCCCAGCCUUGUUGAUGGAAAGCCAGCGGCUCCGGGCAGUGUGAGGCACGCUGCCGUCACCAAGCUAACCUCCCCAUGCCUCUUGCAGGCAGGCAGAGACAAGGAGAGAAAAAAACGUCCGGUGACGUCAAUGAAGACCACACUCUGUUGGAUAAUAUUACUGUGUGCCUCAACCGCCUACUCCCUUUAAUUUACUAGAAGCUAAGCAAGCUGUUUUGAAACCCAUAGCUUCCAGCAUCUUUGCGCCGCUCUCCCUCAACCAAAGGCUACUAAUUGUCGGGAGCUUGAAAGCUACCUGAUGCCUCGUUCAAAGCUCUGAAGCAGAGGGGAUUUCCAUGAGUAAUAAUUUCAGUCUGUGCCUGUGCAGUGCACCGUAGGCUAGAGUAAAUUGAUCCAGCUGCUUGCAAGGCUGGAUGGAAAAGUGCCCGGGGGGGCUGGAGCGCAGCACCAGAUGGAGCUGGAUGUCAUCACGUGGGGCUCCCAGCUGCUGGGCAUGCUCCAGCCUGGCUCCCAGCAGCAGCUCGGCCUGCUGGGCUGCACUGGCUUGCAGCAUGCGGUUGGGUCGCCAGUGUGUGUUGCAACAACUUCUCUUGUAAUGAAGAGGAUAAUUUUGGACUAGCCAGAACUGUUGUUGUCGUCUUUUGCUCAGCUGCAAUCUCUGUGACAACGACUUAAAAAGCUUGCGAGAGGCUGGCUGCCUCCACAAAUAACCAGAACUUGCAGGAUUAACCUGUAACCCGGGGCGGUGUAUACACACGUCCCACCAGCCAGAUGGCAGAGUUCAAAGAUCCGCUCACUUCCUGGCUGAGGUUGCACAAGUUAAUUUUUAUCCUUGUUAAAAAGAAGUAAGAAGCGAAAACAUAGCAAUAAAAUGUACGCUGCUUGCUA